rnacentral:rRNA from 1 species
CUAGCGGCAGACGGGUGAGUAACAUGUGGGAAUCUGCCUUUUGGUUCGGAACAACACGGGGAAACCUGUGCUAAUACCGGAUGGUUCCUUCGGGAUAAAGAUUUAUCGCCAAAAGAUGAGUCCGCGUACGAUUAGCUAGUUGGUGAGGUAAUGGCUCACCAAGGCGACGAUCGUUAGCUGGUCUGAGAGGACGAUCAGCCACACUGGGACUGAGACACGGCCCAGACUCC